rnacentral:tRNA from 1 species
GGCCUCGUGGUCUAGUGGUAUGAUUCUCGCUUCGGGUGCGAGAGGUCCGGGUCGAUUCCCGGUGAGGCCC